AUGCGUAGGGGGCGAGCGUUGUCCGGAAUGAUUGGGCGUAAAGGGCGCGUAGGCGGCCCGGUAAGUCUGGAGUGAAAGUCCUGUUUUUAAGAUGGGAAUUGCUUUGGAUACUGUCGGGCUUGAGUGCAGGAGAGGUAAGUGGAAUUCCCAGUGUAGCGGUGAAAUGCGUAGAGAUUGGGAGGAAUACCAGUGGCGAAGGCGACUUACUGGACUGUAACUGACGCUGAGGCGCGAAAGUGUGGGGAGCAAACAGGAUUAGAUACCCUGGUAGUCCACACUGUAAACGAUGAAUGCUAGGUGUAGGGGGUAUCGACCCCUUCUGUGCCGCAGUCAACACAAUAAGCAUUCCGCCUGGGGAGUACGGCCGCAAGGUUGAAACUCAAAUGAAUUGACGGGG
rnacentral:rRNA from 1 species